rnacentral:snoRNA from 17 species
AAGUGAGAUGAUGGCAUACCAUCUUUCGGGACUGAGUUGAUGUGAAGAGUUUUUCUGUUUUGCUGAUCACUU